GUUCAUCAGUACACGGUAAGACAAAUUGUCUAUAAAUGGAGAAAGUUCAGCACUGCUGCUACUCUCCCUAGGAGUGGCCGUCCUGUAAAGAUGACUGCAAGAGCACAGCGCAGACUGCUCAAUGAGGUGAAGAAGAAUCCUAGAGUGUCAGCUAAAGACUUACAAAAGUCACUGGCAAAUGCUAACAUCCCUGUUAGCGAAUCUACAAUACGUAAAACAGUAAACAAGAAU